UACGAAGGGGGCUAGCGUUGCUCGGAAUCACUGGGCGUAAAGCGCACGUAGGCGGAUUGCUAAGUCAGGGGUGAAAUCCCGGAGCUCAACUCCGGAACUGCCUUUGAUACUGGCGAUCUUGAGUCCGGGAGAGGUGAGUGGAAUUCCCAGUGUAGCGGUGAAAUGCGUAGAUAUUGGGAGGAACACCAGUGGCGAAGGCGGCUCACUGGACCGGUACUGACGCUGAGGCGCGAAAGCGUGGGGAGCAAACAGG
rnacentral:rRNA from 1 species